CUAAUUUUUAAACUUUAUUUAAAAUGCAAAACAAGUUGUUUUUUAGCACAUUUCUCCACAGGUAUAUCAACAGGGCAAGUAAGUAUUUCAAUUGAAGAAUAAGCCUGGAUAAAACUUGUUUUAACAUUUUAAUGUGCCAUCUGUUGAAUUUUUUAAAAAUUAGCAUUAAUAUCGAUAACAUUAAUGCAAACAUUGCUUUGGUUUAAUAAUAAUAUUUUAUCAUGUCAUUAUAAUAGAAAUGUUCAUAGCACCAUUCUUGUUUAUAAACUAUGUAUACUUUGUCUAUUCUUUGUUUAUAUUCUACUAUAUAUCUAUCCAUGUUUCUCAUUUUCAAAAAAGUGAGAAAUUUUCUCAUGAGAAAAUGAGAAAACAAUCCAUUGCAAUGAUUUUCAAUUUUCCUGCUUAGUAGUAGUAUGUCAUUAAUAAGGGCUGACUUGGGCCUUUGGAGAAAAUGAAGCAAGCUGUAUGACUGUCUUUUCCCAUGGGGGAACAAAAGAGCACACUACCAACACUGAAGGCACAAUCCAUGAAAGAAAUAAUUGAUAAGCUGACCUUCAUUAAAAUUAAAAAUGUCUGCUAUGCAAGAGAAUGAGAAGAGAAGACAAGCCAUAGACUGGGAAAAAGUAUUUCCAAAAGACACACCUGAUGAAGUACUGUUAUUCAAAAUAUACAAAGACCUCUUAAAACUCAACAAUAAGCAAUCAAACAACCUGAUUAAAUAAUGGGCCAAAGAUCUUAACAGGCACCUCACCAAAGAUGUACAGAUGGCAAAUAAGCACAUGAAAAGAUAUUCCACAUUAUAUGUCAUUAGGGAAAUGCAAAUUAAAACAGCAAUGAAAUGCCACUACACAUCUAUCAGAAUGGCCAGUUGCAGAAUACAGACAACACCAAAUCCUGGUGAAGAUGUGGGACACCAGAAACCCUCAUUCAUUGCUAGUGGGAAUGUAAAAUGGUACACCUACUUUGGAAGACAGUUGGGCAGUUCUUAGAAAACUAAACAUACUGUACUCUUACCAUAUGAUCUAGCAAUCAAGCUCCUUGGUACUUACCCAAAGGAAUUGAAAACUUACAUCCAACAACCAACCUGCCUACAGAUAUUUUUAGCAGCUCUAUUCAUAAUUGCCAAAACUCGGAAGCAACCAAGAUGUCCUUCAGGAGGUGAAUGGAUUAAUAAACUGUAGCAUAUCCAGACACUUCUUUUUAAUGCUAAAUGGAGUAUUAUUCAGUAUUAAAAAGAGAUGAGCUUAUCAAGCUAAGCGAAGACAUAGAGGAAGCUUAAAUGCAUGUUAAUAAGUAAAAAAAGCAAAUCUGAAAAGGCUUCACAGUUCGAUUCCAACCAUAUAAUAUCCUGGGAAAGGCAAAACUAUAGGGACAGUAAAGAUCAGUGGUUGCAGGGGUUGAAGGAUGGAGGGACAGAUGAACAGGGAGACCACGGAGGAAUUUUAGGGUAGGAAAAAUACUCUGUAUGAUACUGUAGUAAUGGAUACAUGUCAUUAUACAAACCCAUAGAAUAUACAACACCAAGAGUGGACCUUAAUGUAAACUAUGGACUUUGGUUGAUUAUCAUGUGUCAAUGUACGUUCAUCAACGGUUACAAUGUACCUCUCUGAUGAGGGCUGUUGACAAUAAGGGAGGCUAUGUAUAUGUGGGGCAGAGAGUAUAUGGGAAAUCUCUGCCCCUUCCUCUUAGUUUUGCUGUGAACCUACAACUGCUAUAAAUAUAAAAUCUUUAAAAUUAAAAAAUUUUUUAAGCAUACUACCUAUGAAAGAAAUAAUUUUGAAUCUGUUCUGAUUUUCUUAAAAUCCCAAGCUGACACAGUAUUUCACUACUAUUAGUAAAACAUUAAUUGCAGCAUGCUUCACAGUUAACUGAGGCUAAGUUCUUCUGGUCUAGACUAAUGGUCUCCAUUUUUUUUUUUUUUUUUUGCAUGUACCCCUGCCAUUAAAAAACAUGAGCAUGAACACCCCAAUAUAGAAUCUGGAGGGGUUUUGGGGAACACUCUUCCAAAGUGUUCGGAAUCAGAAACUCACCAGAGAAACCAUGGAAAUACUGAACAUCUGAUGGGAAAGGUCAUGGUCAAGGGAAUAAAGGACCUAGAGGAGUAAAGACUGGAGACAAAAAGCAAAAUGUUGCUUAUAUUUACCUUUGCAGCCCAAGCAUGAAGGAUAAAGAAUAUUCAAAACUGAGUGGGACUGGCACAAAGCAGCUGAAAGAUCAGCCAAGAUGCCAACAGAAGGCCAGUCUUCACUCCUGAACAGUGGGUAGAGAGAUCAAGGAAUGGGCCCUCCUGGAAUUUUAUCUCCUCAAACAUUAGAUAUCACAUGCUUGAAACCAUAAAGCCAUCUUACAUGUUUAAAUAGAAAAGAAUAUUGCUACAUUUAGAGUCGUCCCCUUUCCCGUUUCUUAGAAAUCUGUUCUGUUAUUUCAGUCCUCUUAAAUCUUGUUGCUUCCAUAAUCUUUUAUUCCAUUUAACAGAUAGCUUUUGGGUGAUUACCUGUGCAAACCUCUUUGCAAAGCUUAUUGCUACCAGUGGGAAAAGAUAGCCAUUUCCUAAAAUUGCUCUGUGCUCUUUGCUCAGACCAUUAUGAGAGAAACAUUAGUGUAUUCAAAAACCGAGCACCCACUGUAUACAAAGCCUGGUGCUGAUAAGGGAGGACUGUGUUUAUCCAGAGUCAUGCUGCCCUAGCAGUUCUGAAGAUUGGGAAUCCCUGAUUGAAAGGAAAUGCCAUGCGAUGGGAAACAGAGUUAUGAAGUUUCCAUUUCCGUGAUUACUUCCACCCUCUGCAACCUUCCCCCGCCCAACUUGGUUUUUUUCUCAUCUACAAAAUGCACAAGAUCACAGUUCAUUGAUUUAGGUAGUCUGUGCAUUGAUUUGUAAACACGGAUCAAGAUGCCAGACCAUCAUUUGUGCAAAUUGGCCUUGCUCAAAGCCACGGAAACUAAAAUAAAUCAGCCCUUGGGCCAGCAAGCGGUCAGCAUGACCUCAGGAGGCAGAGACUGGGUUUUCCUCAUAAGCCUUCUCUCUGCUCCUUCCCAUGCUAAAUCAGGGUUCACUGAUGCCUUGCCCUGCCUGCUUGGUCUCCUAAGCACUAGAAGAUUCUUGUCCUCCCCCACCGCAAAGGUUUAGUUAUCUGCAGAAUGCACCUGUAUGUACAAUAUCAGAUUCCAUUCUGGUUCCUAGCACUGGGGAAAAGGCCUAGAAACUUUGACGGCACAGGAUGUUUCAAGUUUAGCCUUCAAAAAAAAAAAGCAAUUUGGUUGGUUUGUAGAAAAUUUGGGCAAUACAGAAAAACACAAAGAACAGCUAAAAUUUGCCUUUAAUUAUGUUUUCUAGUAUUUUUAUGCAUAUCAGUCAAAGCCACACUUAGAAUAUAUUUCAGAACAAAAACUGGUUGUGAUACCGUUGUUUCUGCUUGUUCUAUAAGAGUGCCCAAGCUUCCAUGGAAUUUUCUUCAUCCUUUGCCCAACCCUGUGACCUGAUCCAGAAUAAGCCCAUUCUUGGCCAGAGAGGGAGCAUAUUAAAAUUCUAAAUACGGUAUGGCAGUCCCUUCCCAUUUACCUGGGAUUAUGUAAGAUACUUCCAGGCAAUGCAGUUUCCCUGUUCUGUUUUAUUUUGUUUUUGGUGAGGGGAGGUGUGUAUGCAGGGGACUGCCAAGAGAAGGAGUGGAGUUAUUUCUUAGUCCGGAGUGGUCUCAGGGCAAGCAGCAGGGUCAUGCUGGGAACACAGACUCUCGGUGCCCCACGCCAGUCCUCCUGCUUGAGAAUCUGCAUUUUCCUGAGAUCCCCAGGGGCUUCCGAGCCGUGCACCUCAAGUCUGAGAAGCCCUGGCCUGUGGGCCCCCUUUCUGGCCUUCCUCAGGUGGUAUUGAUUGUCAGGAUUUGUCCAUAACGUUCACACCUCCUUGAUGUUGAAACCAGCAAUAAAAAUCCCACCUCCGUGGGAGUAAACACCUUUUCCUCAGGCCACAGCUCACGUUCUUUUGGGAAAACUCUAAAUGUGUUACUUUCUAAAGGCCCUGAGAGUUGGGGGAUGCUCUAAAUGGAAGGUCAAGGGAAGAGGCCAGCCCUCUGCUUUGCCUACCCCCCCGCCCCCUCGCCCACCAAAGUCCAUUCCGGGGUCACAGCUGUUGUUUUUGUGUCUCCUGCAGUCAUAGCAAAUCAUUCACCUCAGUCAGGGACAAGAGAGAAAUUCACAACAGAGCCCUUUAAAUUCGGCUGGGGGAAAAACGCACAAUGAUUUUUUUUCCCCUCCUCCUCGUCCUCCUCCCCCUUCUUCUCAACCACACCUGCCUUAUUUGAGGACUCAAAUGAUACAUUGAACCUUUGCUAGUCCACCAGGGGGCCCCAGGAGGCACAGGCCGAGCGCUUGGAUCCUGAGGACGCUAUCAGGCCAGCUGGGAUCAAGGACUCUGAGUACAGUGGUGCCGCCCAUAGAGGGAGAAAAAGAGAUGACAGAUGCCAAAACAGUCGUGUCUGUCUGGGCUGCCAGCCAAGCCAUGUGUGGGCCUCGGGAUGGAUGAGGGACCCGCCCGGGCAGAGCCCUCUGAAGGGCUGCCUUCAUUAGGCCUCCCUAAACCAGGCAGGUGUCCUCGGGCAGCCAUCUGAACCAUCUGGGAGGAGCGGUACUCCCCCUUCCCGGCCUGGAAGCACCUGGGGUUCUCGGUCAAGUUGUUCCCCUCUCUCUUCACAGAUUUGAGAGAGUCGUAAAGCCUUUGGGGCUGGACACCACGGCUCCCUCUGGUUCUGGCCCUGGGGGCUCCUCUGUCUUUUUGGCAGCAUCUGACAAUCCCUCUGGCUUGGCCGUCCAGCUCUCCUCUGGUGCCUCUCCACUCCGAGGCCCGGCUUCCUGGGGUCUGAUCUGAAAACUCUUCCUUGGGAGGAUCUGGGACACUUAUUGGGGUGCAGUCCCUGAAGCAGCAGGGGGUAGGGGGAAGGAUGGUUAAGAGAGGCUUCUUCUUGACCCUUGGGGAACUUACCCACAUCACCCUGUUCAUCCUGGCAACCCCUGCUUGCGUAUAAAGCCAGCAAGCACGCUGGUUUUCUUUCCGGAGGUAUGGAGCACAAGUGAUCAAAAACUCAGGCCCUGGUAUUGCAGAGACUGGCAUCCAAAUCCUGGCUCUUCAUCACUAGCUAGGUGACCCAACUUGGCUUCCUGAAAUUUUAGGCCUCAACUUGCACCUUUCUAAAAUGGGGACAAUACCUGCCUCAUAGGUCAUUAUGAGGAUCAAAUGAGAUGCUGAAUAUAAAGUGCUUAGCACAGUGCCUGGCGCUUAGUAAGUGCUCAGUAAAAGGUAGCUGUCAUUGUUAUUGUUACCUAAAAAUGGACAGUCCGUCAUGCCAGAUAACCUAACGAGUCAGUGCUGUAUCCCAGAAGGCCCGAGAGUUUCAGUUCUGAUCUGCUUUGAAUUAGCCCUGUGUGCCCCAGGUUCUUCAUCUGUAAGAUGCAGGUGACACUAUCUGGCUCUUUGUUCUUGUUGAUAACAUUUAUCGAUGCUAACUGCGUACCAGGCAGUGUUGUAAGUGCUUAUGCUAAUUCACUUGAUUCUUACCACAUCCCUUUUGACAGAUAGAAAACUGAAGUAUAGAGGCUGUGAGCCCAGGGUUAAGCAGCUAAAACAGAUGGAGCUGAGGUUCCAACCCAAGCAGUCUGGGCCCAAAGCCUGCAUCUCUGCCUUUCUUAGUGUGAGAAAUCACAUGGUUUAUGGGGCGCCUGGGUGGCUCAGUCGGUAAAGUGUCUGCCUUUGGCUCAGGUCAUGAUCCCAGGAUCCUGGGAUCGAGCCCUGUGUCGGGCUCCCUGCUCAGCGGGGAGUCUGCUCCUCCCUUUACCUGCUGCUCCCCCUGCUUGUGCUCUCUCUCUCUGACAAAUAAAUAAGUAAAAUCUUAAAAAAAAAGAUUAGAAAUAAGAAAAAUCAAAUGGUUUAAUAAUUAUGCAAGUGCUUUGGGAGUGGGAGGCUCUGUACAAACAUAGAAUGGUCUCACUAUUUAUCCAAGUUUCUUGGUAUUUGGUCUUCACCUGGGAUCCUUAACCUUUCCUGGCAGGACAUGGAGUUGGGGGGGCUACUUGAGGUUUUCCUGAAGCCUUUUAAUCACCGGCUGUUAUGAGUCCCCACCCCGCCCAAAAUAUAUGUUGAAGUCCUAGCCCCUAGUACCUCAGAAAGUGACCUUAUUUGGAAAUAGGGUCAUUGAGUUAAAAUGAGGUCACUCAGGUGGGCCCUAACCCAAUAGGACUGGUGUCACAUGGACACAGACAAGCACAGAGGGAAGAUCGUGUUGGGGAAGUCACAGGAGAACGCCACAUGAACACAGAGGAUUAGAGUGAUCAUCUCCAAGCCAAGGAACGCUGGAGGCUAUCAGAAGCUCGGAGAGAGACACGGAAAAGUUCCUUCAGUGCCUUCGCAGGUAGCACAGCUCUGCCAACACCUUGAUUUUGGACUUCUACCUCCAUCAUUGUGAGACACAAAUUUUCUGUUGUUCUAAGCCAUCCCAUUGGUGGUACAUUGUAUGGUGGUCCUAGGAAAGGAGUACAGAUCAAGGAACAUGGAGAUGAAGAUGAAGAAGGAGAUGCAUGGGAAAGUUGAGGCUGGUGAUGGACAAAAGGGUACUGAGGGGGGCCACAUACCCCUAGGUGUGCACGUGUGGGUGUGUGCGCGCACGUGUGUGUGCACGUUUUGACAGUGUAAAAAUCGAUCUGUGAGCUCACCAAGCUUGAAGAUCAUUCCUCUAUAAGAAGAUCACGUGAGAGGCAAAAUGAACAUGAAA